CGAGCACGCGCGUGUGGCAUAUCAAUAAGCGGAGGAAAAGAAACUAACAAGGAUUCCCUUAGUAACGGCGAGUGAAGCGGGAAGAGCUCAAAUUUGAAAUCUUCAGGGUUCUACCUUGACGAAUUGUAGUUUAUAGAAGUGUUUUCUGUUAGUGGAGUGGCAAAAGUUCUUUGGAAUAGGACAUCAUAGAGGGUGAGAAUCCCGUAUUUGGUCAUUCCUCCUAGCGUUGUGAUACACUUUCAACGAGUCGGAUUGUUUGGGAAUGCAGUCCAAAAUGGGUGGUAAAUUUCAUCUAAAGCUAAAUAUUGGCGAGAGACCGAUAGCGAACAAGUACCGUGAGGGAAAGAUGAAAAGAACUUUGAAAAGAGAGUUAAACAGUACGUGAAAUUGUCAAAAGGGAAGCGUUUGACACCAGUGUUGUUUUUCCGAAAAUCAAUUACGAAUGUUUUGUUUUUAAGAAGUUAUGACUUCAUCGGCUUGCUUCUUUCUUUACGAAACUUUCUUAAUGCACUUUUCGGUUAACAAGUCAACAUCAAUUUCUUUUGUUGUAAAAGGGUAUGAGGAAGGUGGCUUUCUUUUCGGAGAAAGUGUUUAUAGCCUUGUGCCUCUGCAAUCGGAGAGAUUGAGGUCUGCAGCGUAGAUCCUUCGGGGUUAGAUACAUUUGUGCUAAGUUAUAGCUUUUCAUAGACAACUUGUUGACUAUGUUUAGUCUUGUAGCUUACUCGCUUAUGCUAUUUACCUACGCUUAGGAUGUUGAGCGCAUGUCUCUCUCU
rnacentral:rRNA from 1 species